UCCUCGAUAGCUCAAUGGUAGAGCAUCCGGCUGUUAACCGGAGGGUUGUAGGUUCGAGCCCUACUCGGGGAG
rnacentral:tRNA from 1 species